rnacentral:lncRNA from 1 species
GCAGGAUUCUGACUCCCAUCUCCAUCUGUUCUCAGGCAGGCAUUCAGAGCUGUCCUUGGCAAACUGUUGGCUACAGCUUGAGUCAAGGACAUUGUAGGCCCUUUCUAUCCCUUAUAGACAACAGGAUCUGAAGAAUCAGCAGCACUUCAUGGGAGACCUCACUGCCUUUGCCAUCGUGUCCCUGUCAGAAGUGCUGAGCCAUUUAGAAAACUGUCUGAAGACCCAUUAAAGAAGCCAAUGCAUCUCCAUGUGUCCCACGGAUGAAGGCAGAAGUAAAGCACAGCUAACGGCACCAAAAUUGCAGCCUCUCUCGCCACCCCUUUUGUGUGA